GACCCAACACAGCCAAAAAAAUUGCUGCAAAAUGAAGUAAUUGUCAUAGUAAGGAAUUCAGGGGCUGCCUUGUUUGAGAGUUUGAUGACAGAGCAGCCAGGGCAGGUGGGGAGUGAGAGAUGGGUGAUUCAGGCAAUGUCCUCCUUGCUUUCACUUCAGAGAGAAGGAUGCAGGAGCCCCAGAUCUGCGAGGCCAGAGAUCUGGUUCUCAGCCUUAACACUUCCUUCUUCCUUGCUUUCCAACUCUUAAUCAGUCAAAAAGUACUUUUGGGGCUCCUAAAUGUUUUUGCAGCUCUGCCCACAGUCUUUUUUAUUUUUUUUUACUGAGAAAUUCUCUUAUUUUAUUCCUUUGUGGUCUUAUUUGUUUACAUACAAAAAAAUCCAUCUGAAAUAUUUUGUUUUUGUUGUUUCAUCCUGUGAGGUAUAAAUCUAAUUGGAUUUUUCUCAGGCUCCCAAGAAGAGUUGUCAGUGCUUCCUUCCUAUCCCUAACACCUAACCACCCCACCUAGAGCACACCCAAGACACCCCAGAAAUGCACCCAGAGGGGAAACAACCCUUACUUUCAUUCUACUCAAGUUCUUUCCAGUUGCCCAGAAUUCUGCUUCCUUCAGUCAUCUCUAGGUGUCAUCCGAGAGGAGCCUCUCCAGGCUGGAUUUUCAGCACAGACACAGAGGUUUGGCUGGCCUAGGGAAACUGGGAUGCUUGGGGGUCCUGCCCUGCCGCCGGUGCCGAGCCUGAGCUCUGCCCCAGUGCCGGGCCCCCAGCUCUGUCUCCUCCCAGCACCUGGGGCCGGGUGAGUGGCCCUCUCGGCAGAGGGGAGCUCCACCCCCGGCGUCCCUAUCCCCAACGAAGGAGAAUUGCCCUCUGUGAUUUUACGUGGAAUCUGCCAGCAAGAGCCGCCUGAGAGACUAGACAAUGGAGCUCUCUGUAUCACUGCAGAAAAGGAGAACAAAAAUGCUGACACUUCAGUGAUUACAUCUGGUAUCCGCAGUCACCCGGGAGCGUCCCAAAGAUGACCCAAUAGAUGAGACGUACCUUUUCUUCAGAGCUUAAAUUAGCUUUCAACUAUCUAAAAGAGUGGCCUUUUCUGGACAAUGGAAUCAUAUACCCCUCUAGUUUUGACAUUGCCUCUUAUCUCCAAUGAGAAAUGCCAGAUUGAACUUCAGCUCUGUGGAAACUGACCAGCUAGACAUAGGUUCACAAAACUGAAUGAACAUCAGAAUCGGCCUGUGAUGGGGAAUGCUGCUGCACACGGACAGUGAAGAUGACACCCAGUCCUAGAUGUGUUUGCUGAGCACUGAGGAUGCUCCCACAAAGUAAGGAAGUUGCAGAAUCUCCUGAGAACCCAGAGAGGGCUCAGGCAAGGCUGAGCACAGGCUCCGGACACGCAGGCUCAGAGGCCAUAGCUCACGGGUCC